rnacentral:rRNA from 1 species
CCCUUAGAUGUUCUGGGCCGCACGCGCGCUACACUGACGAAUGCAACGAGCUUAUAACCUUGGCCGAAAGGUCUGGGUAAUCUCCAAAUUUCGUCGUGAUGGGGAUAGAUUAUUGCAAUUAUUAAUCUUCAACGAGGAAUGCCUAGUAAGCGCAAGUCAUCAGCUUGCGUUGAUUACGUCCCUGCCCUUUGUACACACCGUCCGUCGCUCCUACCGAUUGAAUGGUCCGGUGAAGCGCUCGGACCGCGGCCUCUUGACGGUUUUCCGUCGAUUGGCUGUGGGAAGUUCGUUAAACCUUAUCAUUUAGAGGAAGGAGAAGUCGUAACA